UCGAAGGGGAAGGGGUGUGUUGCCUGUAAAUUUUGUAGAACAGACUUCUCAAUUGAACACGGUGGCCGAAAUGAUAUAAUCAUUCAUGAACGGAGAGUGAAGCACAAGGUCACAGUCCAGUAUUAUGGGCCACCUCGCAAAAUGGAGACCCGAUGGUGUAAUAUAUGCCGAGACAAAGAUGACUAUGCUGAUAGCUGCAAGCAACAUCCCAUUCUCAUUUGCGGAUGUUUACAACAAAUCCGUGAAGAAUAUGUACCCGGAUUCAGAGAUCGCUUGCCAGUACUCAAAUGGCAGAACAAAGGCGACUCAAAUAGUGAAAGGUGCCAUUGCCCCGGAAUUGGACAAGGAAGUGAUGGAACUUUGCCAAAACCAACCCUUUGGUCUGAUGUGUGAUGAAAGCACAAGCAGAAAGACGGAUAAAGAGUUUGUGAUAUUGGCCAGG